CCUGCAGACAAGUGGCACUCCCUUCGGCACAGCUGUGGGGCAGACAGAGAGAAUUACAGAGGUGGAACCACUUCAGUCUCCAUAGUCAUAAUAAAUACCGAGCCUCAGCAACUUUCAUGUGACUUCCAGGAGACAGUGGCAGCAGGGGCAAAUGAUUCUUCCUGGAUGGUGACUUUAAAGGCCUUCCUGUGCUUCCUAAGACACAAAAUCCUCUUCUCAGCGCCUGCCUCCUGACCCCAACUCAGGGCUGAGCCACAGAACCAGUGCACUCAUCCCCACAGCACUCCCUGCAGAAGUACCUGCACGUUCGUUUGCUGUGUCCUGAAGUGAACUCAUUUCACUGUGAGUAUCAGGCUAAGUUCUGAGGAUACAAAAAUGGAGGGACAUAGUCUUUGCUUCUUCAGGACACUCUAGAAGUUACAGACAUUUCAUGGACAGAAAAGUGGGAGCCGGAGUGGGCUUGGGGCAUUUAGGGAGGACUUCAUGAUGUUGGUGUGUGAUAUGGAGUCGUGAGCAGAAACACGGUUCCUCACGGAAAGCACACAGGAGCCCCUCAGGUCCUGAGACCUGGGUGUCUGAAGGCCCACGGCACGCGUGAACGCAGCCCAGGGUCACUGGGAGUGAGGGGCGAGGGGUUUGGCAGGCCAUAAUUGCAAGAGCUAACUCGCUAAAACAUUUACAUGCACACCAAGUGAUGAGGUGUGGACCAGACCACUCGUGAUUACACAGUGUGAGCAUGGUUACUGGGGACCUCAGAAACCUGAGCAGACGAGGCCAUGGGGGGAUCCGGGUGUCAGGAGGCUCACUUUUCAGGCAACGUGGAGGACAGGCGGAGGGGUUGAGAUCAGGAAGACCCAAGAAAAAGGAAUGAAGUAGGUUAGGGUAUGGGGUUGGGGAAGGGAGGGAGAUUCAAGACGGAAUGAAAAGUCAAACUCACCAGGAAUCCAGUAAUGUGACUGGCUUCCUAUGUGCAAACGGGGAGGUGAACACUAAGAUACCUCGGGGGCCACGCAGGCAUUUGUAAGAAAGCUCAGCUGUGGAGGUUUUGAGGUUUCCAAUGAAUAAUCCAUCUUUUUUUCCCCCAGGUUCAAUAGCAACUGAGAGGCAGAUACAGGCAUUGAACUGUAGAGACAAGUCAUGUUGAUGAUUCAUAAGGCUGCCUGCAGAUUGGGCCUUAGGCCAACAGACAUGUGUGUUUGCUAAUCUCCUCUGAUGACUUAGAAAGACCACCCACCGAGCCACAUGGGCACUGGACAAAGGGCCUGCCUCCACGCAGGGAGGGACAAGAGGGGGACAGAAGGCAGGCUUUCUCCGGGAGGCAGCUAUAGUUGUGAUAAGAUUUGAUUAAGCUGGUCUUCCUCUGGAGGAGAUGGGGGUGAGGGGAGGGGGCGCCAGCCUGGCAGUGGAAAGCUAUAAAGGAGGCAGGCCCCUCACCACCCACGGGAGGAUGCAGGCAUCUGAAGCCUGGGACACCUGACCGUCCUCCGUCGUGAGUCCUGUCCAGGCGGCCAAGCUUUGGUGCACAACCGUUUCUGAAAGCAGAUCCUCGUGCUGAUCAUUGCAAAAGAGGUGAAGGCAGACCCAGAGGCCACCAUUUGGAAAAACAAAACAUUUUUAGGAGUUUAACUUUCUAAAAUAAUUCUCAGUGUAGAGUUACACGUGACAAUGUGGCCUGCACUGAGUCCAUCAAAGUUGGAAUUAACUGGUCAUUGGCAUCGGGGAGAAGGAAUAAUGAUGCCCGCAGUCCCUGGACCUUAGAAAAACUAGAGAAAUAGGAACGGAGCACACCAUUAACUAUUCUCAUAAUCACCUCAAUCCGGUAAAAAUAAAAAAGGUCUUCAGACCAGGAAGGCAUGAAGACUCCAGAAACUCUGCAUCAAACCUUUUCCAUUUGCAAUCAAAACCAUCCCUGCUCCUGGCUGCCAGCUCAAAGCAUCCUGUUCCCUUGCCCUCCACAAGACAGCUCCAAACCCCGUGCUGCCAGACAGGGCCGCCCACUUCACCUCGCUGUUACUGUCGUUCCUCUCGGCCCUGAUGACGCUGUCUCUGUCUCCAUCACUGAUCUUGUCCCACUUCCUGGAAGUCUCAGGACAUCCACAGGUGCCUCUUCCAACCCCCUCACCCCCCAGGCUCUCGGGCCCCUCUCUCCCCGGGGAACUGCAGAAUCCCGAGCUGCUUCCUCUGUAGCUACCACCUCUCCCCUUGUCAGCAGCCCCGGGCCCCUGCCCAGUGGACGCGAUUGCCUCCCG